CCUUGUACCCUGUUCGUCGGGUCACUUGGUGUUAAAACAAUAGACGAUAUCUAAGCAUGUAGUAUUCUCGAGCGUAGUGCUGGCGGACGCGGGUUCAACUCCCGCCAUCUCCACCA
rnacentral:tmRNA from 1 species